AACGGUCUAUACCUGCGGUACCUGCGGAAGGAUCAUUACCGAGUUAUCAACUCCCAAACCCCUGUGAACAUACCCGAACGUUGCCUCGGCGGGACCGCCCCGGCGCCCCUAGCGGCCCGGAACCAGGCGCCCGCCGGAGGACCCAAACUCUUGCUUUGAACAGUGGCAUACUCUCUGAGUCUCACAAACAAAAAAUAAAUCAAAACUUUUAGCAAUGGAUCUCUAGAUCGGAAGAGCACA
rnacentral:misc_RNA from 1 species